UACACUCCUGCGGGAGGCAGCAGUGGGGAAUAUUGGACAAUGGGCGCAAGCCUGAUCCAGCCAUGCCGCGUGAGUGAUGAAGGCCCUAGGGUUGUAAAGCUCUUUCACCGGUGAAGAUAAUGACGGUAACCGGAGAAGAAGCCCCGGCUAACUUCGUGCCAGCAGCCGCGGUAAUACGAAGGGGGCUAGCGUUGUUCGGAUUUACUGGGCGUAAAGCGCACGUAGGCGGACUAUUAAGUCAGGGGUGAAAUCCCGGGGCUCAACCCCGGAACUGCCUUUGAUACUGGUAGUCUUGAGUUCGAGAGAGGUGAGUGGAAUUCCGAGUGUAGAGGUGAAAUUCGUAGAUAUUCGGAGGAACACCAGUGGCGAAGGCGGCUCACUGGCUCGAUACUGACGCUGAGGUGCGAAAGCGUGGGGAGCAAACAGGAUUAGAAACCCUUGUAGUCCCAU
rnacentral:rRNA from 1 species